CCCAAAUCACCAAAAUGGUGACAAAUCACAAAAGGGCACACUGGGCAAGAUUCACCGUGACCGGCCUUCUUUAAUACACCGGGCCUAGCAUCGCUUCUUGAAACGAUGCAAAACGUGGAUAGGCCACCUAUAAGCGCAAUACCAGCUACCAGGCCUUAGGUUUCAGUUACAGAAUACGGCAUUCAGCCAAGUUGGUCUUGCGGCAGUCCGUAAGUAUGUGAUGAUCAGCUGGAAUUUGGAGCAUGACAGCGCAUGUACUGCUGUAGUGCCAGAGCUUUAUUCAGUAGUAGCAAAUAUAAAUUUUAUCAAUACGGUUUACAUUUAUUAAGUUAAAAUCUUCACUACUAUGUUGCUUAGGUGAUUUCCAAUAUAGUUCAUUUUUUAGAAUUACCCUCCACCUGGUGAAUUUUUUGUUUUUUCAAUGAAAGUCUUGGGACGAGAGCUAAGCGUCAACUACUUAUUUUCUGCGCUAAAUUAGCGGUAUAUAAGGCUUCGCAUUCAAGUUUAGGUUGUGGAACAGUGUGCUCUUGUAGUUUGGAAGACGUGGGCAUUCGAUGAUGAGCGUCACUGUUCCCGCAAAGCUGAAAGACAAAGCUUAAACCGUGUUCUAGAGGAGAACGUUGUCAGGACAUCAGGUUGUGUAUGCCACGUCCACACGAAGUCGAGGGGUUGCAAGAAUAGCAGAGGCUCCCGGGCAUGCAGGUCGCGGAGGAGAUGGCCAAUUCGCGGUGUGAUACAUGAUCGUGGCUGUUGCGUGCUUUCGAGUGAUAUUGCGGAUGUCCAGAGGCCGAAGGGACGGUUCAUCAAUGGUGAAGUACUUCCAAUUUCAUCAUGUGCUUGGUCCGUAGAAGCAUAGAUCUAGCGUAACAGGUUGUCGGAAGAUGACACCUUUCCUUGGGUGAAUACGGAAAAGCUAAUAAUUUUUCAUUCUCGUAAACUUACAAAAAAAAUCAUUUUUUUAAAUUUUUGUUUUGUUUUUUGUCCUUUAUAGGAUUGACAGUAUUUUUCUUGUGCUGAUUCUAAACGUAAAAGUUUGAUAUAUUUGUAGCUCUUUAUAGGCUGCAACGAGCGUCUCAGUAGAUAAAAGUAGCCUAUUUACCACGACUUUAUCAAGCUUCCUAGUCACCCUCGUUACAUUGAGUUAAAGCUGAAAUUUGAGUUAAAGCUGAAAUUAGAGUUAAAUAGCCCUUGUGGCCUAAUGAAUAAGGCACCGGCCUCCUAAGCCGGGGAUUGCGAGUUCGAGUCUCGCCAGAGGUAUAACGAAAUGUAUAUAUAUUCAUAGCAAUGUGAUUCCACUCGGAUUACCACAGAUUUGAGCAAAUAUUCCGUUUUUCAGCAGAAAAUUGUUUUCGGGAAAUUAUCAUUUUGUUUAAUGGAGUUUUUUAGUUUUUUCUUAAGUUACUUCUAAAUAAAAAUAUUUAAC